GAGGGUUAUUUAGGUGCCUCGAAAAAAAAUUAUCCUCUGAUUUAUAGACAUCACUUUAUACAGUAAAUCCAUGGCAAUGGAUUCACUGGCGUUUUCAGUCCAAAAGGGCAGCAGCGCUACCGCAGAAGUGGAGACGUGUCGUCCAUCUUUAUAUACAGUCUAAGGAGAAAACAUGUGCCUCCGUGUGUUUUGGUGUGCAGUGUGAAUCUCAGGAACCAUCUACAGGAAACUCC